AUGGGGCUUGUAGCCGUGGGGUCGCAAGAUCAACGUGAGUUUUCUUCAGAUUUUGGAACCCUAGACCCACGAGCCAAUCCCGCUUUCGGCAGCUACUUCCCUCGCUUCCUCCGCAGCCGCCUCCCCUGCUCCCUCCGGAGCGAGCCAAUCUCGCAGCCGCUUCCUUGCUUCCUCCGCAGCCGCCUUCCCCGCUCCCUCCGCACCUCGUCCCCUGAGCCCGUUCCCCUCCUUCUCUGCUCUCCACUAUGUCUAUGCCGCCUCCUCCUCUCUCACUUUUCUCUCCGGUGGCGGUGCCAAAAGAAGGCGCACAUGAGCGGUGGAUCCGUGCCGGAGAAGAGCUGCGGGGACUGCGCUUCGGUCGCGCUGCUCAUCCUCCAAUCUCUUCCAUUCAGACAGGCUGGACGCAACGCACACGGUCUAGGAAGGCCACGGCAUGACUGUGCUGCUUCUAUCUUCUGGAAGUUAACUGCAUUUUUCCUUCUAAAGUCCUCAGACCAGGCUGUCAUUGACAAAGAAAGGAGAGGAGACUACUUGGGGAAAACCGUCCAGUUUAGCCUAUUUUCCUUCUGUUGUUCCCAUAGCUGUGUAAGCCUGCCCAGUGCAGGGACAAAAUCUUUUCUCACCGCGCAUAAUGACAGUGGCACUCUUGAUGCAGGCGAUAUUAAAUCAAUGCCUUUUAUUGAAGCAUUAGGUCAAUUUUCAUACCGUGUAGGACCUGGAAAUUUCUGCCUGGUCCAUGUCAGCCUUGUUCCAGUACUAAAUGUAGUUGGUGAGCAGCUUGUCACUCUGUUUCUACUUGGCAAGGGACCCCCCACCCUCUUAAUUCAUUUGUAUUCUUUCCUUCUUAGUUGCAGUGUUGCAAGUAUGGUGAAUGGUGCCGGAAAUAACUCUAUCCUGGCAAGAUAUGUUCUACUCAGUGUAAUGCUACAUGCCAUAGAUGCCUGUGGGGCAAAGACCAUGGAGGAUACAACCAGGUUGAUGGGAGCCCAAAAAGACAACGAAGAGUUCAGAGCCACGGGGAGAUCAGUGCUCAAAAUGUUGUACAACGUGGAGAACAAAUUUGUCAUUGCCUGCCAGAAAAUAUCGGUUUUAGAUGUCUCCUCAGAGGACAGGCUCCGUAGAUGGCCCGCUGCUGUUCCUUGUGCUCGUGCAACGAGCUACCUCGCCUUGAUGACAUCGGAAGGACCACACGAGUUGGAUUAA
rnacentral:rRNA from 1 species